AAGGCUGAGGCGUGAUGACGAGGCACUACGGUGCUGAAGCAACAAAUGCCCUGCUUCCAGGAAAAGCCUCUAAGCAUCAGGUAACAUCAAAUCGUACCCCAAACCGACACAGGUGGUCAGGUAGAGAAUACCAAGGCGCUUGAGAGAACUCGGGUGAAGGAACUAGGCAAAAUGGUGCCGUAACUUCGGGAGAAGGCACGCUGAUAUGUAGGUGAAGCGACUUGCUCGUGGAGCUGAAAUCAGUCGAAGAUACCAGCUGGCUGCAACUGUUUAUUAAAAACACAGCACUGUGCAAACACGAAAGUGGACGUAUACGGUGUGACGCCUGCCCGGUGCCGGAAGGUUAAUUGAUGGGGUUAGCGGUAACGCGAAGCUCUUGAUCGAAGCCCCGGUAAACGGCGGCCGUAACUAUAACGGUCCUAAGGUAGCGAAAUUCCUUGUCGGGUAAGUUCCGACCUGCACGAAUGGCGUAAUGAUGGCCAGGCUGUCUCCACCCGAGACUCAGUGAAAUUGAACUCGCUGUGAAGAUGCAGUGUACCCGCGGCAAGACGGAAAGACCCCGUGAACCUUUACUAUAGCUUGACACUGAACAUUGAGCCUUGAUGUGUAGGAUAGGUGGGAGGCUUUGAAGUGUGGACGCCAGUCUGCAUGGAGCCGACCUUGAAAUACCACCCUUUAAUGUUUGAUGUUCUAACGUUGGCCCGUUAUCCGGGUUGCGGACAGUGUCUGGUGGGUAGUUUGACUGGGGCGGUCUCCUCCUAAAGAGUAACGGAGGAGCACGAAGGUUGGCUAAUCCUGGUCGGACAUCAGGAGGUUAGUGCAAUGGCAUAAGCCAGCUUGACUGCGAGCGUGACGGCGCGAGCAGGUGCGAAAGCAGGUCAUAGUGAUCCGGUGGUUCUGAAUGGAAGGGCCAUCGCUCAACGGAUAAAAGGUACUCCGGGGAUAACAGGCUGAUACCGCCCAAGAGUUCAUAUCGACGGCGGUGUUUGGCACCUCGAUGUCGGCUCAUCACAUCCUGGGGCUGAAGUAGGUCCCAAGGGUAUGGCUGUUCGCCAUUUAAAGUGGUACGCGAGCUGGGUUUAGAACGUCGUGAGACAGUUCGGUCCCUAUCUGCCGUGGGCGCUGGAGAACUGAGGGGGGCUGCUCCUAGUACGAGAGGACCGGAGUGGACGCAUCACUGGUGUUCGGGUUGUCAUGCCAAUGGCACUGCCCGGUAGCUAAAUGCGGAAGAGAUAAGUGCUGAAAGCAUCUAAGCACGAAACUUGCCCCGAGAUGAGUUCUCCCUGACUCCUUGAGAGUCCUGAAGGAACGUUGAAGACGACGACGUUGAUAGGCCGGGUGUGUAAGCGCAGCGAUGCGUUGAGCUAACCGGUACUAAUGAACCGUGAGGCUUAACCUUACAACGCCGAAG
rnacentral:rRNA from 1 species